CAGUAAACGAUGAAUACUCGCUGUUUGCGAUAUACAGUAAGCGGCCAAGCGAAAGCAUUAAGUAUUCCACCUGGGGAGUACGCCGGCAACGGUGAAACUCAAAGGAAUUGACGGGGGCCCGCACAAGCGGAGGAACAUGUGGUUUAAUUCGAUGAUACGCGAGGAACCUUACCCGGGCUUAAAUUGCAUUUGAAUAUGUAGGAAACUAUAUAGCCGCAAGGCAAAUGUGAAGGUGCUGCAUGGUUGUCGUCAGCUCGUGCCGUGAGGUGUCGGCUUAAGUGCCAUAACGAGCGCAACCCUUAUCUUCAGUUACUAACAGGUCAUGCUGAGGACUCUGGAGAGACUGCCGUCGUAAGAUGUGAGGAAGGUGGGGAUGACGUCAAAUCAGCACGGCCCUUACGUCCGGGGCUACACACGUGUUACAAUGGGGGGUACAGAAGGCAGCUACCUGGUGACAGGAUGCU
rnacentral:rRNA from 1 species